CGUACUUCUCUUUUGAGUCAGUCCCUCAUCCUUUCUCUGAUUGCAACCAGAUCCCACAAGUCGUGGUGACAUGUGGCAAUCUCCAGUUCAUGAUUGGUUGGCUCCACUACAACAGCACGAUCCCUUCAACCACGCCCAUCAGCACAACUGAUUAGAGAUGAAGGCACUGCACUUAAUGUGGGCGGUAGUGGUGCAUGCCGCCAGUCUUACACGGCACAGAAUGCAAACCAUGUGCUGCAUA